rnacentral:rRNA from 1 species
UACGUAGGGGGCAAGCGUUGUCCGGAUUUAUUGGGCGUAAAGAGCGUGUAGGCGGCCUGGAAGGUCAGCUGUGAAAACUCGAGGCUCAACCUCGAGACGUCGGUUGAAACCACUUGGCUAGAGUCCGGAAGAGGAGUGUGGAAUUCCCGGUGUAGCGGUGAAAUGCGCAGAUAUCGGGAAGAACACCCGUGGCGAAGGCGGCACUCUGGGACGGUACUGACGCUGAGACGCGGAAAGCGUGGGGAGCGAACAGGA